UAAUCUCGUACAAUACGAGACUGCGCGAGAUCCGAUCGGCCUCUCCCGUUCGCGUUUCUAUCGGGCCUUCUUACGGACUACGUCACACUGGCCGUGACUGGAACCUAGGUUUUCUCAUCAAAACGUAGAGUGAAAACGAUUAGUUGAAGACAAGAACCUCCGAUUGUGUUUGUGUUAGAAAACGAAGCGCAAGUAGGACCAAGUUGCGGCGCAGUCGUCUACGUCGACGAACGCCUUGUUUGCCUUUGUUUGGAAGAACGCGGCCAGGCUCUCCUGACGAAGUGUCUGGCUGCCGGUGGAUUAACAGUUGUACAAGAUUGAGAAUGCAUUAUGGUCACAGGGAAUUACGAUCCUGACACAAAAAUUCUACCAAAGCAGGAUAUAAUUCCCUAAAGCAAUUAUUACUUAAAGACUUCUUUCAAGGAAUUUGGUAUUCAUUGAAUUUGGCUGAUAUAACUGGCCUUUGAAAUAGGUCCAUCUGAGUGUGCGUGAAAUUUGAAGAGGAGGUUUUCUGAUCAAGACGUGGUCGGCACAUAUGGACAAAAAGAAGCCUGGGAUCAAAAGGCCCCGUAUGGAUAACCCUCCUAUUGGUGCCCGUGGCCCUAUUACAAAUGGCCCCAUGCACACCCGUCCCUUAGUGGCACUACUUGAUGGUAGGGAUUGUUCAGUGGAGAUGCCAAUUUUGAAGGAUGUGGCUACAGUGGCCUUCUGUGAUGCCCAGUCCACCCAAGAGAUACAUGAAAAGGUAAUACAUUUUAUUUUGGUUCC